ACAAGUGUGGGUGAGGAUGCCAGACCAGCUGUUUAUUAGACCUGCAUGAAGAAGUGAUUUAUUGGGUUUACGGUAGGCAUUUCAGAGAUGCCAAACACAGCUCAUAACCAGAGAGGACCAAGAUGCUGUGAUCCCUCUAGCCUCUUGGAGAUAAAGACACAUGUAGAUGCUGAAAUCUGUAGAAACUAACAGUCUGCUGGAUGGUCUCAGAUGAUCAAGUGGUAUCAAUGAAGGGAAAGGAACUUCAGCAUUUCACAUUGAUUCACUGAGUUUCUCCAACAGAUCAAGAAAAAGACGAAUAAGUAAAGGCUGCAAAUGCCAUGGCUGCAGAAGCUUCAAUUUCUACAUGAUGUUUGAGAUUAACCAAAUUAUCCACCUGGUUUAAGUGCUGCUGGAGAAACUGAGCAAAGGAGGAACUUUAGAUCCCACGCCACCAGGUUCAGAACCCUGCAAUCAUCAGGCUCCUGACUUUCACUCAUCUCAACACUGAACUCCUUCCUCAACCUAGGAUUGUACAAGGAUUCCACAACUCAGGUACUCAGUAUUUAUUCAUUUUUUUUGUAUUUGCACAGCUUGUCUUCUUUUGCACAUGGGUUGUUUGUGUUUCUCUCUGUGUAGUUCUUCAUUGAUUCCAUUGUAUAUCUUUGUUCUACUGUGAAUGCUGCAAGAAAAUGGACCUCAAGGUAGUGUAUCAGUACUGGUGAUGCAAAAAGACUAAAUAAACUUGUUAAAGAGGCUGGACCCUUGGCUACAAUCUGGCCUCUUUUGAGUUAGUGGUGGAGAGGAGGUCACUAAACAAACUGUUAUCCAUUAUGGACAAUCUGGCACAUCCUCUCCAUGACCUACUGAAUAAGCAGCUGAGCACCCUUUUGAACAGAGUCAUUCAGCUCCGCUAUCACAAGGAUUGUUUCAGAAAAACUUUCCUAGCAAAUGUAACAAACAUAUGCAAUAGUUCAUCUCUGUGUGACAGGA